rnacentral:piRNA from 1 species
CUACAGAAUUCCCUUCACAGAGCAG